rnacentral:rRNA from 1 species
UACGAAGGGUGCAAGCGUUAAUCGGAAUUACUGGGCGUAAAGCGCGCGUAGGUGGUUCGUUAAGUUAGGAGUGAAAGCCCCGGGCUCAACCUGGGAAUUGCUUCUAAAACUGGCGAGCUAGAGUAUGGUAGAGGGUGGUGGAAUUUCCUGUGUAGCGGUGAAAUGCGUAGAUAUAGGAGGAACACCAGUGGCGAAGGCGGGUAACUGGACUGCAACUGACGCUGAGGCGCGAAAGUGUGGGGAGCAAACAGGAUUAGAUACCCUGGUAGUCCCUGAG